GUCUCGAAUGUCAGUGCUAUGGAACAGUCAGUGAGCUUCCUGACACGGGAAGAUCUUCCGGACGGUCGAGCUUGCGCGUUCCGGUUUCUCAGUCAUGUGACAAGCUGCAUUUUCGUCCUACUAACUUUAAGAAUAAGGAGAGAAGGAAAAAAAAAAAAAAAAAAGAGAGAGAGAGAGAGAGAGAGAGAGAGAGAGAGAGAGAGAGAGAGAGUAAAAAAAAAAAUAAACAAGUGAAGCGACGCUGAAUGACACGAGGCUUGAUACAAUGUAUCAGAGCUCAUCAGUUUCCAUUCAAACUCACAGCGUCAACCUGAGCUCACUGACGUCGCGUGAGCUCACACCUACAGCGUGCUUCAGGUCCAACAUAAUCCGCGCACGUGAGGGGUGGUGGGGAGAUUUAAAAAUAAACAAAAAAAAAAAUAAUAAUGAUGAUGAUGAUAAUAAAACGAUAUUAAAGAUAUCGCGUGUCGAGUCGUGUUGACGCGGUGUGAGCCGGAUGUAUAGUCCACUGUCUUCAAGAUCCAUUCCAACUUGCAAGAAGAAGAAGAAGAAGAAGAAGAAGAAGAAGUUUCCUUACAGUCGGUAGCACGCGAUGAAAGCGCGCAUACUUGCAGAAAUGACACUUUAGUCUAGGAGCCUCCUCGUCGAAGUCCACAUGCUCGGGUCAAAUCACGUUGCGUGAACACACUCGUGUGUUUGUGGGGAAGGAGCGCGAACACGCAGGCUAUCCGUUUAGUUGAGCAGGGAAAGAAAGCGGCUCGAGGAGAGGAGCAGCUUCCCGGCGUCGCUUAACAUGUCAUGUGAAAGUUGCCUCGCUCCUGGAGCGCGCGCGCAUACACACACACACAUACACACACAUACACAUACAUACACAUACACGUACGCACGCACGCACGCACGCGCGCUCUUGAGCUCGAGCUCAAACCGACCGCAUCACUCGCCAAGUUGACCCUGUCCUUUCCUUCCGCUCACACAUUCGGACAGUUUCUCGGGCUAGCUCUCACACUUUACUACAGUGGAACCUACACACAAAAACAGAUCUUUUUCUCUCUCUCUCUCCAGCGGUUACACUAAAACCCCGUUCCUUUAUCUCUCUCUCUCUUUCUCUCGCGCUUUCGGUCUCGCGCUGAGUGACUGAG
ensembl:lncRNA